rnacentral:lncRNA from 1 species
AGCUAGGGAUCCAUGGGGUUCUGUCUUCGACCGUGUAGUUCAGGCAGGAGUCGGAGGAGAGAAGUGGAGCUCCAGUCCUUCUAUUCCUCCAUCUUAAUCCAAGAUCGCAGGAAGUUGUUGCUGAACAAGGAUGAGACCCAGAUGUCCCAGCUCCAAUCCUGGCAAAGGAGGACCCAGGGCAGCGUCUGUUGUCCUUAGGUAACUGUAAAGCACACCAGGGUACUUCCUUCGUGCUUCGCUGUUUCACUUGCACACAGGGUGUCGCGUGGAGAGGCCUCACACACAGCAUGAAAUGGCCGGCCCACCACCUCAGCUCCACAGAAGCGCUGCGCACGCACCUCCACGUUGUUUUCUGAUUUAUGCAGCCAGACUUCUUUUGAGGGGAUAGAACCAGCUUCUGGGAUUUCGAGGGGCUCCUCAUGGUGGGUAGUAAAGAGGAGAAUGAUAGAAGCUGGGACAAGCCAGAAGGCGCUUCAGAAGACAGGCUAGUUGGGGAGGGGAGAGGAAGCAAAGGUAACUAGUCUAAGGCCCGGGUGGCUGCGGUGGGAGGGGGCUGCAAGGAGAGGAUGCACAUUAUUUUGGGGGCAGCCUUGGUAUGAGUUGUGUGAUGUAGCUUCCCUUUGGAGAUGUCCCAACGAGGCCUUCUCUGAUGGGCCUACAUUUCUUUCCAAAGCUGUAAGGAAUUGGAUCUGGGUUUCCUUUUGAUGUAGCCUUGUGCUGAGAUGAGCCUAGAGAAUCCCAGUGUUAUUUAGCUUCCAGAAAACAGUCUGAAGGGAACCCUAGGACUGGAGAUGACUGGGUUACAGAGCGUCGCCUGGGUGGUUCUGCAGCCUCAGAGUCACAGAACUUCCAAUCCGGAAGGGUCUUGGGCAGCCAUCCACCUACACCCCCCAGUUGUGGAUGGAGGCAGUGUCUGCCUGGAUUGGGACUCCCUCUCAUUGCCCAUUUUCUCCUGAGGACCAGGUGGAUGAAUGGCAGGACUUCCCACCUCAGCUUCUACUAGGAACCUGUCUCAUCUCAGCCUAACAAUGAGCCAGCAAUCAACAGUCAAUCUUAUCUAUAACUGCCAUUCCCAAAUGGGAAUUCAGCUUUGUGAAGUUGACAAAUAAUGACUUUUGGAGGUCCCUUUGUGGCUUAGCAGGUUACGAAUCUGACUAGUAUCCGUGAAGAAGCCAUGCAGACAUGGCUCAGAUCUGGUGUUGCUGUGACUGUGGUAUAGGCUGGCAGUUGCAGCUCCAAUUUGACCCCUAGCCUGGGAACUUCUAUAAUGCCACAGGUGCGGCCCUAAAAAAGCCAAAACAAACAAACAAACAAACAAAAAAACCUUUGAUCAUUUUUAGGAUCUUCAUUGAAUGACUGCAAUGGAAGGGAAAUGCCUUGGCCAACGCAGAGGAGGGAACUGACUCCUCCAGGAGCAUACAACCAAUAGGGCCUGGGCUGGCAUUAGAACCUACGCUCACAGCUCAUGAUCCAGAGCACUUCCCACUACCCCGACAUGAGGUGGUGUGGAGCAAGGGAAAUGACAGUAGAAGCCAGAUAGACUGCCUUUUUAUACUGGCUUCUCUCUGAAUUAUUGUUGACCUUUUUUCCCACCCAUCUGGAGGCUUUCUUCUCCUUGGUGGCAGCAGAGGGAUGAAAGGCACUUGUAGCAGCAAAUUCACCCCAACCAGAAAAACAAACCACCAUCUCUCAGUCCCUGGCUUCCCUUCCUGGACUGAUGGUCCCAGGUAGAACAGAUGAGGCAACAUGACGUCAUAGAAAUAUUUUGUUUAUCUCAGUGGUUCCCAGUGGAAGGGGGGCAAUUUUACAUUCACACCCCUCCUUUUCUCUGCUUGCCCUGGAAUAUUUGGCAGUGCUUGGAGACGAUUUUGUGUGUCACAACCAGAUCGGUUGGGGAUGGGACUGGAGAAUGCUACUGACAUCGAGUGCGAGAGGCCGGGAAUGCUGCUAAAUAUCCUACAAUGCACAAGGCAGCCCCAAGGACAAAGGAUUAUCCAGGCUGAACUGGU